rnacentral:lncRNA from 1 species
GACAGUGACAGUACAUAUCUGGAUGUGUGUAUCCAAAGAUAGUGACUUGUUAACAGAAAUGGAACUAUCUUUACAUGCCUCAUAUUAAGAAUAUAGCCUUUCGAGGUAGGAGUCCACUCCUGUGAGGUAUGGUGAUGGGUGCAGAUGCAAUGUGGCUCUCAAUAGCACCUUAUGGACAGUUGUGUCCCCAAAGGAGGGAUGAGAAUAGCUACUGAAGUCCUAAAGAGCAACCCUAACUCAAGCCAUUGGCACACAGGCAUUAGACAGAAAGCUGGAAGUUGAAAUGGUGGAGU